ACUCGGCCACAGUUAAUUUGUAUAUAAAACUACCUUUCACUAAUGUUUUUAUUUCCAAAAGGUGAAAUUUUUGCGAAAUAUUGUCCCAAACAAGCCUAUCUGGCGUAGCAGCCAGAAAAGGUACUCCGGAAUUUACACAUAAACCACAAUUAUAAACUUUAUAUUGUGGAAUUUUUCUAGUAAACUCAAUAGUUGGUAUUGUCGCAUAACAAUAUGGCGACGGUGAAUAUGGUCAAUUAGCGAUUCAAGUUCAUCUCCAAGCCACCUAUCGGAAGAAACUGUAAUAUCGGCUUAAGUGUUCGAGGAGUUAUAAUAUAUAUGAAAGUUUGUUCAAAGCAUUUUGAAGAGUCUGAUUUUCAUACACAAAGUAAGGAGCUGAGACACGCAGAUUUGUGUUUGAGACCGAGAAAAACUAACUUGAGACGCCGAAAUUUGAAAAGAAAUGCAGUCCCAACAAAAAACCUUCCUACAGGUACUCAUGAGAACAUAAAGAAGAAAGAAAGACGGAAUUUAACUAGAUAUGAUCCUGUAUAACAACCAAUUUUGAAAUCUGACUGUGAAGUAAUGACACAAAAUCAAGAUGAAAGUGAACUUCAUGCUCAGGAAAUGAUUCACAGGCCUGAUGAAUUGUUGGCUGCUGAAGCUCUAUGUGCUUUCAUCAAUAAGGACAAUUUGUGACAAUAUUACUACAAAUCAAAAGCUUAACAGCUUGACAGGGUUGAAUUCUUUCAAAAUGCUGAAAACUAUUGAAAUUUUAGUAUUAAGAAUAAAAAGAGAAAAUUUUGUUUCAUCCCUCAAUAUUAGGGAAAAAAUACAUUUACAAAACUAAAGAAUGACACGAGCUAUGUUGUAUUGUCUUUACUCUUUGGAAACAUCAGUUCCCAAAGUAUAAAAGAAAUUUUUUAUGACAUGUUAACUGUGUUAGCGACAGUAUUGAAACCUGCGAGCUAUCUUCCACCUAUUGAGGAAAUUCGUAAUAAUUUGCCACAACACUUUGAGCAAUUUACUGAUAGUAAGAUGUUAUUCUAACUAUAAAGGGAAUAACACUGUAAAAUUCAUGGUGGCCAUGACGCCUGCAGGAUUGAUCAGUUUUGUCAGUGAAGCUUAUGGUGGAAGAGCAUCUGACAAAAUAAUUUUUGAGCAGAGUGGUCUCAUAUCCUCCCUGAAGCCUAAUGAGGAUGCCAUUAUGGUGGAUCGAAGUUUUCUAAUUGAUGAAAUUUUUCCGGAAAACGGAAUAAAACUGAUUCGCCCACCAUUCAUGCGAAACAGAAAACAAAUGUCUCUUCAGGAGGUUGAACAAAAUAUAUUCAUAGCUAGAGCAAGAGUCCAUAU